ACUUGGCUCCAAGUCAACAAAAAACAUUGACAAAUGCCUGGUUUUCACUAGGUCAUAUUUGACGUCAAAUGCUGUCAAAAUAAUGAAAACGGGUUGUCAUAUGGUGUCAGUUGCGUUUGCCGGCAUUUUUGCCAACGAACGGCAAUUUAAAUUGACAGCGAAAUGAAAACAAUCAAAAUACGUUAUGUGGCAACAUUUGACAUCAAAAUUAGAUUUGCCAACAUGUUGGCAAAUUAUUUCCAUUUGCCGCGCGAAUGAUGUGCACAAAUAAAUAAAAAAGAUUUUUCACUUUUCAAGUUUUAAAAUGGCAGAAGAAAUGAGUGCAAAUACAGAAAUGUUAAUUCCAAGCAUCAAGCGGGUGCGAAAAAUGAAAACAAAGUGGACAGCGGAGGAGACUGAGCAACUAAUUCAAGAAGUGGAGUCAAGGGAAGGAACCUGGAAUUUCCUUUCCGCGGAUUAUCGCGAUAGGAAUUUGCGUGAGGCUCAGUGGCAUGAAGUGGCAGAAACACUAAAUAUGCCACGAGCCGAAGUAUCAGCCAAGUGGAACAGCCUUCGUUGUUCUUUUCGCGCGGCCUUCAACCGAAGGGCUCACACAAAAAGUGGACAAGGUGCUGGAAGAACGACUACCAUGAACCCACUCUACAAUUCGCUAAAGUUCCACGAGCCUACAUUAAAUGUUGAAGCGAGCACCACUUCAAAUUUAAUAAAUGUAAGUAUAUAUAGGUCUACAAGGUUCUAUCGAGCGUAUUGUGUGAAAGAUUAAAGCCCACCGUCAACAAACUGAUUGGACCUUAUCAGUGUGGCUUCAGACCUGGUAAAUCAACAACCGACCAGAUAUUCACCAUGCGCCAAAUCUUGGAAAAGACCCGUGAAAGGAGAAUCGACACUCACCACCUAUUCGUCGAUUUCAAAGCUGCUUUCGACAGCACGAAAAGGAGCUGCCUUUAUGCCGCGAUGUCUGAAUUUGGUAUCCCCGCAAAACUAAUACGGCUGUGUAAACUGACGUUGAGCAACACGAAAAGCUCCGUCAGGAUCGGGAAGGACCUCUCCGAGCCGUUCGAUACCAAACGAGGUUUCAGACAAGGCGACUCCCUAUCGUGCGACUUUUUCAAUCUGCUGCUGGAGAAAAUUAUUAGAGCUGCAGAACUGAAUCGAGCAGGUACAAUCUUUUAUAAGAGUGUACAGCUGCUGGCGUAUGCCGAUGAUAUUGAUAUCAUCGGUCUCAACACCCGCGCCGUUAGUUCUGCUUUCUCCAGACUGAACAAGGAAGCAACGCAAAUGGGUCUGGCAGUGAACGAGGGCAAGACGAAAUAUCUCCUGUCAUCAAAGAAACAGUCGUCGCACUCGCGACUUGGCACUCACGUCACUGUUGACAGUCAUAACUUUGAAGUUGUAGAUAAUUUCGUCUAUUUAGGAACCAGCAUUAACACCACCAACAAUGUCAGCCUGGAAAUCCAACGCAGGAUUACUCUUGCCAACAGGUGCUACUUCGGACUGAGUAGGCAAUUGAAAAGUAAAGUCCUCUCUCGACGAACAAAAACUAAACUCUAUAAGUCGCUCAUAAUUCCCGUCCUGCUAUAUGGUGCAGAGGCUUGGACGAUGACAACAACCGAUGAGUCGACGUUGCGAGUUUUCGAGAGAAAAGUUCUGCGGAAGA